rnacentral:rRNA from 1 species
UGGGGAAUUUUGGACAAUGGGCGAAAGCCUGAUCCAGCAAUGCCGCGUGUGUGAAGAAGGCCUUCGGGUUGUAAAGCACUUUUGUCCGGAAAGAAAUCCUUGGCUCUAAUACAGUCGGGGGAUGACGGUACCGGAAGAAUAAGCACCGGCUAACUACGUGCCAGCAGCCGCGGUAAUACGUAGGGUGCAAGCGUUAAUCGGAAUUACUGGGCGUAAAGCGUGCGCAGGCGGUUUGCUAAGACCGAUGUGAAAUCCCCGGGCUCAACCUGGGAACUGCAUUGGUGACUGGCAGGCUAGAGUAUGGCAGAGGGGGGUAGAAUUCCACGUGUAGCAGUGAAAUGCGUAGAGAUGUGGAGGAAUACCGAUGGCGAAGGCAGCCCCCUGGGCCAAUACUGACGCUCAUGCACGAAAGCGUGGGGAGCAAACAGGAUUAGAUACCCUGGUAGUCCACGCCCUAAACGAUGUCAACUAGUUGUUGGGGAUUCAUUUCCUUAGUAACGUAGCUAACGCGUGAAGUUGACCGCCUGGGGAGUGCGGUCGCAAGAUUAAAACUCAAAGGAAUUGACGGGGUCAUAGCUGUUUCCU